GUGAGAGUGGUGCAAUGGUUUGAGUGUUGGACAAUGAUUCUGGAGACCAGGGUUCGAAUCCCGACUCUGCCA